GGCUAGGAAGGGGACAUCUAAUAAAAUUGGAACGAUCCAAAGAAGAUUAGCAUGGCCCUUGCACAAGGAUGACACGCAUAAAUUGAGAAAUGGUCUAAAAUUUU